UCAGUUUCCUCCUUCUCUUCUUCGGUUCUCUUUUUCGGUAUGUUCUCCUCUGUAACUCCGCUUCAACCAAAUCUGGUAACCAAAUUUCGAAAUCAAAGUCUAAUAAACACGAACUAUGAAUACGUAAAGCAGAGAUCACAUACAUGGCGUUGGAUCUGAUCCUUGGGCGUUAUUAAUAUCUUAAACUCAAAGAUUGAAGCAAGAUCUAUGAUUUCACCAUGUAAUAAAAAGUAUAAAUAUCCUCAACAAAUCAAAGCAUCGACAUCAAGGAAUUGGUAUUUUCUGAUGUUAUAGUUUCUUGUGAGAAAAUUUGGGAGAAAAUUUCUUGUGGCCGAGGAAGAUGAUUCAUAAGAUAAAUUCAAAUUGAAACACAAGAAGGUGAUGAGCCGGGAAGAUUUUGGGUUAACUAACUUAUGUAGAUGAAGCCAUUAAUCAUUGCCUCCUGGAUGCAAAUACAGAUAUUAUUGAUGAAACGCAUACAGCUGGAAGACCUAACCAAUACUGACAGAUGAGGCCUUGUAUUUGUAUUGUAUUUAAUAUUUUAUGCAUCACCUGCAGGGUAUUACUUUUGUCUAUCUUCCUAGCUGUUGUAACGGCAUUUGCAGAUGGAACUCUAGUCAAGUGUACUCUAGUGUUACUAACCUACUUGCAGGUAUGCAUCGAGUAUUUCAUUGUCCGGAAUGUAGACUUCUCAUUCAGUUAAGGAAAUACAUGUUAUUCUUUUCCAGAAAAUCCCGGUUAAGCUUUGUCCAUGGAGUCCAUGUGAUACAACUGCAGUUUAUGCGUCUAAGCCGACUUGUUAGUCCGAAUCUACUGCUGGUGCUGUUAAGAAGCUGUACAAACAUUGCUCCUUAGAACUGUGCUAUUUGAUAAAAUUAUCCCUCUUUUGGCUUGCCUUUUUCUGUUUUGCAAUGGAUUUAAGGCUAAUAAUUUCAUUAUGAGUUAGUAGUUCCUUAAGUUUCCCAGUAAUUGUUCGUUUCAGUUCACCUAAGGAUAAUGCUAUUGGUGUGGUUAAUUUGAUCGCCUAAAGCGUAUGCAAUCAUGCCUUGUCGUGAUUAGCUUACGUAUAGAUUGCUUCAAAAGUUUGGUCCUGUGUUUGGUCUGCAAAGCAGGGUCAAUAUUGUGUACAAUUAUCCCAAGGAUUAUUAUGUUGCAAUGUUUUAGUUAGUAUGUGAACAGAUUGUUGUGUGUGACAGAUACUUAGAUUAGCUUCCAUGCAAUCUUUUAUUAGUAAUCACUUACAAAAUCUGAGCAUCCAUAAAAAUUAUUGAAAGAUUGAGAUGUACUAUCUGAUGACCCCUCCCAACUAUUUCCCUAAGUGUCUAUUUUUUAUAGUCAAGUGCUUCAGUUGAACAAGGUAGCCUUUCUAACAGCAAUAUCUCAUGUGUGCUGCAGAUUCUUGUCAGUGUCAUUGUUGUGAUGGCAUUGAAACUUUUUGGGUAGUGGAAACAAGUGGAUUGUGGCAAUUCCCCCCCUGUAAUGAUGCAGUUAAGGCUACUGAUUUUUUUGGUUGGGGCAACGGCAACCACUAACGAUAAGAUUCCUGACUGAUUCAAAUCCAGUUUGUGUUUCUCUCAUCUCUUUUAGUUUUAGAUAUGGUGAUCAAUUCCUCGUCUCUCCGACAAGGAAAUAAACAAGGUAUAAGAAGAACUGUGAAACAUCAUUUCUAGUUCUUUUUUUAUUUUCCAUUAUUCAAAUUGCGGAGAAUCAGUGCUCGUUUGCGGAGUCUUAAAUUUCAGAAAUGCCGUGAUCGCCAUGAGAAUCUUAAGGCCUCAAGGGCGUACACGUUCAAGUUCAAGGGAUGACAAAGGCUUCUAGGGCAUACGUUGCCAGUUUCACAUGACGAAAAAAAUCAAUCUAUACAUAGAGAAAACGAAACAAAUUAAGGAAGCCCAAUGCAAGUUCCAGGCACAAUGCACUCGGUUAAAUAUUGGUUCUUGGUCCAGCUGAUUCUCCAACCAUUGAAGAUCCAGAAGCUGCUUAAUGCUUAGUUUUAUAUUACUCCUUGUUUCUAGUUAAAGUUACAUGAGUAUUAGUUUUCUUCGGUAUUGUAGAAGUGUUGUCUUUUAAAUACUCCCUCCAUUCCAUUUUAGAUUUUAGAUGAUGUUUUAGGGCUAUUUUCUUGUUCCAUAAUACUUGAAAGUUUUCAUAUAUUCCCACAAAACUACCAAUAAUACCCUAACACCUUGUCUUGGAACUAUAAGUUUAUUUUAAAAUGCACUAAUAACAAUUAAUGUUUGAAGACUUUUCUUA